UCCAGAUCAAGAUCUGCCAGCAGCACCGCCUCUGCUUUAUCUCGGGGGGGCCAUCGCAGCUUCCUGCCUUUCCACCCACUCUCUGCAGUGGCGGGGGGGUCGUUUUUAGGGGGAAGUGCAUAAAAUCCUCCCUUGUUUGUCUGAAUCUGGGAGAUGUGGGUGGGGAAUGGAAGCCAGUGAUGGGCCAGGACCUUCUUCACCCUGGCAAACACCAGUUGGAGAGAAAGAAGCUGUUUCUACAAGGAAGUCUGAGGCCUUGGAAGCUUUCCUAACGCCCAGGGGCAGAAUGGGGUGCAUGUCCCCCUAUCUCAGCUCCCCAAGAACUUCCGAAGCCUCAGCCUGACCAGCGUGGUGCGCCUUGGGAGGAGCAAGACCCCCCUGCCUCUGUUGGCCGGCUGAGCCACUUCGUGCAGCUUACUGUGCCUUUUCUGGUCUCAACGGCAGGGCUGAGGACACCUGUAUCGCGUGUGGGAAGCACCAGACAAGAACCCCCAGGAGCACCCUGCCACUCUUCCAGGCACAGGACCAAAGGUGUGGCUGUGUGGAUGGUCUCCUCUGAGGAUCCUCCUGCCUCCAAAAAUCCACAGGAUCCUCCUGCCUUCCUCCCUCUUAAUUAUUGAUUGGGGAAGAAAAUCGAAGAUGUGAAUAAUUGACAAGCUGGAUCUAACGGACACAUUUAGAGCUGGGUACCAAGGUCUACCUCAAUGAAAGCAUAUACAUUGUUUAAAAGUUUCAAAAUUUGCUACCUGAUUCUCAGUGAUUCUCAAAACAGGCUGCAUGUUGGAAUCACCUGGGGGUUUUGAGAGCAAGUGAUGUCAGGCACUCUGCUGUAACUGGAGAGGAGUAUGUCCUGAGCACCAGGACUCUGCAGACCCAACAAGGUGGUUCCAAUGUGUGGUCCAGGUUGAGAACCACUCACUGUUCUCACCGAGGGCAGCAUUGGCUGAUUUCAGAGGACUGUACCCGACGGGCCACCGUCUCUGACCAGAUUGUAAUCACUGGAGGAAUCAAUAACAAAAAUAUAACCAGAAAAAGUCAUAUAUUUAAAAUUUUAAAAUUAAACUUCCAAGCAAUUCAUGGGAAAAAAAUAAAUACUUAGAACUGUUGGUCAGUGAAUGUAUGCAUUUUGUGGUGUACGAAUGAAGCUGAAGCAGUAAAAAGAGGGAAAACUACUUAAAUUAGGGAAGAGAAAGACUGGAAAUUAAUGAGAAAUUCAUUUAAUAACAGAGAGAAAGAACAGCUGAUUAAACCCAAAGAAGCUAUCAGGAAGAAAACAAGUAAAAGUAGAAAUUAAUGGAACAGAAAAUAAACAUACAAUAGGAGAAGACAAACAGAGCCAAUAGUUGAUUCUCUGCGAUGAUUAAUAAAAUAGGCAAAACUCUUUCAAAGUUAAUUAAGAAAAAGAGAAGAAGGCACAAAUAAAUUAUCUUAGGAAUAAAAAAAGAUGAUGCAGAGAUUAAACUGAUGAGGGUAUUAUGAAUAAAACAUGUAUGCCAAUAAAUUUGAAGUCCUCAAUUAAAUGAAUGAAAUACUAGGAAAAAAAUAUAACUUAUCAUAACUGAUUCGAGAGGAAAUAGUUUUGUAACCAUUAAGGAAAUUGAAUCAGUGGUUAAGAAUCUUUUCACAAAGAAAACAGUGGGACCAGAUGAUUGGAAAGGGGAGUUCUAUGAAAAAUUCAAGGAACCAAUAGUUUCAUCUUAUACAAACUCUUACAGAGAAUGAAAAGGAAGGCACAACUCAUUUUAUGAAAUUGUUUUCACCAUGAUGUCAAAACCAGAUUAGGAAUGGCAACAAGGAAAGAAUUACAGCUCAGUCUCACUUGUGAGGAUAGAUGCAAAGAUGCUGAACAAAAUUUCUUAGCAAAAUAAACUCAACACCAUAUAAAACAUACUAUACAGCACAAAGAAGUUGGGUUUGCUCUAGGAACACAAGGUUGGUCUUUUGAUGGAGAAAUCAACCAAUGGAAUUCUCCACAUUAACCAAAUAAAAGAGAAAACCCCUAUGGCCAUCCUAGUACCUGUGGAUAACAUGGUGAAUAAAAUUCUACGUCUCUUUAUAAAAACAACAACAACAACAACAACAACAACAAAAACCUAACCAAAUUCGGAACACAGAGAGAACUUUGUUAAUCUGAUAAAGGAUACCUGAAAACUCCUACAGCAAAUACUAUAUUGAAUGUUUUUUUCUUAAAGAUUGUAUUUAUUUAUUCAUGAGAGACA